AUUGAACGCUGGCGGCAUGCUUUACACAUGCAAGUCGAACGGCAGCAUGGGCUUCGGCCUGAUGGCGAGUGGCGGACGGGUGAGUAAUGCAUCGGAACGUACCCAGUCAUGGGGGAUAACUACGCGAAAGCGUGGCUAAUACCGCAUACGCCCUGAGGGGGAAAGCGGGGGAUCUUUCGGGACCUCGCGUGAUUGGAGCGGCUGAUGUCGGAUUAGCUAGUUGGUGGGGUAAAGGCUCACCAAGGCGACGAUCCGUAGCUGGUCUGAGAGGAUGAUCAGCCACACUGGGACUGAGACACGGCCCAGACUCCUACGGGAGGCAGCAGUGGGGAAUUUUGGACAAUGGGGGCAACCCUGAUCCAGCCAUGCCGCGUGAGUGAAGAAGGCCUUCGGGUUGUAAAGCUCUUUCAGUUGGGAAGAAACGGGGUUCUCUAACAUAGGGCUCUAAUGACGGUACCG
rnacentral:rRNA from 1 species